UGAGGAAUAUUGGUCAAUGGGCGCAAGCCUGAACCAGCCAUGCCGCGUGAAGGAUGACAGCCUUAUGGGUUGUAAACUUCUUUUGUGGUAGAACAAUAAGGGGCACGUGUGCUCCGAUGAGAGUAUAUCACGAAUAAGCAACGGCUAACUCCGUGCCAGCAGCCGCGGUAAUACGGAGGUUGCAAGCGUUAUCCGGAUUUAUUGGGUUUAAAGGGUGCGUAGGCGGUUUGAUAAGUCAGUGGUGAAAGUUUGCAGCUUAACUGUAAAAUUGCCAUUGAUACUGUCAGACUUGAGUACAGAUGAGGUAGGCGGAAUGUGUGGUGUAGCGGUGAAAUGCUUAGAUAUCACACAGAACACCGAUUGCGAAGGCAGCUUACUAAACUGUUACUGACGCUGAGGCACGAAAGUGUGGGGAUCAAACAGG
rnacentral:rRNA from 1 species